GACGAACGCUGGCGGCGUGCUUAACACAUGCAAGUCGAACGAAGUGGCGAACGGGUGAGUAACGCGUAAUCAACCUGCCCUUCAGAGGGGGACAACAGUUGGAAACGACUGCUAAUACCGCAUACUGCCGGCGGUGAUUGCGGCGGAUUAGCUAGUUGGAGGGGUAACGGCCCACCAAGUGGAUGAUCAGUAGCCGGUCUGAGAGGAUGAACGGCCACAUUGGGACUUGGACACGGCCCAGACUCCUACGGGAGGCAGCAGUGGGGAAUCUUCCGCAAUGGACGAAAGUCGGACGGAGCAACGCCGCGUGGGUGAUGACGGCCUUCGGGUUGUAAAGCUCUGUUAAUCGGGACGCGGGACCGGAAGAGAAAGCCACGGCUAACUACGUGCCAGCAGCCGCGGUAAUAG
rnacentral:rRNA from 1 species